GAUGAACGCUGGCGGCGUGCCUAAUACAUGCAAGUCGAGCGAACAGACGAGAAGCUUGCUUCUCUGAUGUUAGCGGCGGACGGGUGAGUAACACGUGGAUAACCUACCUAUAAGACUGGGAUAACUUCGGGAAACCGGAGCUAAUACCGGAUAAUAUUUUGAACCGCAUGGUUCAAUAGUGAAAGACGGUUUUGCUGUCACUUAUAGAUGGAUCCGCGCUGCAUUAGCUAGUUGGUAAGGUAACGGCUUACCAAGGCAACGAUGCAUAGCCGACCUGAGAGGGUGAUCGCCCACAAUGGACCGGAGACACGGUCCAGCCCCCUACGGGAGGCAGCAGUAGGGAAUCUUCCGCAAGGGGCGAAAGCCGGACGGAGCAACGCCGCGUGAGUGAUGAAGGUCUUCGGAGCGUAAAACUCUGUUAUUAGGGAAGAACAAAUGUGUAAGUAACUAUGCACGUCUUGACGGUACCUAAUCAGAAAGCCACGGCUAACUACGUG
rnacentral:rRNA from 1 species